rnacentral:rRNA from 1 species
AACAGCAGCCAUAUCACCCUGCAACUCACAGCCAGCAGUUCUGAAGCCAAGCAGGUGUGAGCCUGAUCAGUACCUGGAUGGGAGACCUCCUGGGAAAAACUAAGGUUUGUGCUGGAA